rnacentral:rRNA from 1 species
AGAGGGUGCGAACGUUGCUCGGAAUUACUGGGCGUAAAGCGCGUGUAGGCGGUCUGUUAAGUUGGUAGUGAAAUCCCAUGGCUCAACCAUGGAAGUGCUGCCAAAACUGGCAGGCUGGAGUGCCGGAGAGGGUGGCGGAAUUCCCAGUGUAGAGGUGAAAUUCGUAGAUAUUGGGAGGAACACCGGUGGCGAAGGCGGCCACCUGGACGGUAACUGACGCUAAGACGCGAAAGCGUGGGGAGCAAACAGGAUUAGAUACCCUGGUAGUCCACGCUGUAAACGAUGAGCACUAGGUGUUGCGGGUAUUGACCCCUGCAGUGCCGACGCUAACGCAUUAAGUGCUCCGCCUGGGGACUACGGCCGCAAGGCUAAA